GACAGAGGGUGCAAACGUUGUUCGGAAUUACUGGGCGUAAAGGGCGCGUAGGCGGCCUUCUAAGUCGGACGUGAAAUCCCUCGGCUCAACCGAGGAACUGCGUCCGAUACUGAAAGGCUUGAAUCCGGGAGAGGGAUGUGGAAUUCCAGGUGUAGCGGUGAAAUGCGUAGAUAUCGGGAGGAACACCUGUGGCGAAAGCGGCUCACUGGACCACAACUGACGCUGAGGCGCGAAAGCUAGGGGAGCAAACAGG
rnacentral:rRNA from 1 species